AGUUUCUGAUAAGACUCGAUUGUGAAGACUCAUCCAAGCCCACCAUCGUAGCAAUGGAAGGUUGGGGUGAUAUUGCACUUGGUUCCGACCUCUGCAGCAGCAAUUCUGGUUGUAUUGCCUCUUCUGUACUUGAGGGACGCGUAGCAUGCCAUUGCAGCGGCAAAGAUGAUAGCUGGUCCCACAAUGGAUAAUGUGAUGAUUCCAAAAACUCGAAGACCAUGUUGUGGAGGAGCUGAAACUUCAAUAGUACUACUGAUAGUGAGUAAAUACUAGAGCGGGUUGGCCUUCUAUAUUUCAAUUACAUCCCACAUUAUAUUAGUCUUUAAAAAAUUUAAUGAUCAAAUCAGUUACCGUUUGUUAAAGAUUUUGUUGUAAAAUUUAAUUCCUUGAAUAACACCAAUUUAACUGUUCUGUGUGA
rnacentral:lncRNA from 1 species